rnacentral:rRNA from 1 species
UACGAAGGGGGCUAGCGUUGCUCGGAAUCACUGGGCGUAAAGCGCACGUAGGCGGAUCUUUAAGUCAGGGGUGAAAUCCCAAGGCUCAACCUUGGAACUGCCUUUGAUACUGGGGAUCUCGAGUCCGGAAGAGGUUGGUGGAACUCCGAGUGUAGAGGUGAAAUUCAUAGAUAUUCGGAAGAACACCAGUGGCGAAGGCGGCCAACUGGUCCGGCACUGACGCUGAGGUGCGAAAGCGUGGGGAGCAAACAGG